UACGUAGGGGGCAAGCGUUGUCCGGAAUCAUUGGGCGUAAAGAGCGCGUAGGCGGUCCGGUAAGUCCGCUCUGAAAGUCCGGGGCUCAACCCCGGGAGGCGGGCGGAUACUGUCGGGCUAGAGUCCGGAAGAGGCGAGUGGAAUUCCUGGUGUAGCGGUGAAAUGCGCAGAUAUCAGGAGGAACACCAAUGGCGAAGGCAGCUCGCUGGGACGGUACUGACGCUGAUGCGCGAAAGCCAGGGAGCGAACGGG
rnacentral:rRNA from 1 species